CAUCGGUCCGAGGCGAAGCAACGAAGUCUCUACAGGCACAGCAACGCAUCUACAAAAAUGAGAGAGCAAAGGAAACCUAGCUGGAAGGUUCCCACAGCCUUGCAGAGGAGGCAUCAGAACAGCACAAGCAAAUGUGUUUACAGCUUCACACUUAAAUUUGAAACGUGUUCCUAACCUGACAUCUGUGUAUUUUCAGCCCUUUCCAAAGCUCUUGUUUUGCUUUCUUUGGCUUCUGCUUCAUUAUUCUAAUUUAAUAAAGCUGCAGUGAAGGCAGA